AUCCCAUGAUGAGGGCACUUAGAAAGUAAUUCUUUGAGUCUCUCACAUGCCUUGUACGAAGAUUUGCCAUCCAAUUAUUGAAAAGCGGUUAUCUCAUUUCGCAACUU
rfam:Gossypium arboreum cultivar AKA8401 contig_30499_1, whole genome shotgun sequence.